GGUGAGGUGGCCGAGUGGUUGUACGUACUUACCUCUUCAGUGGGAAACCGCGUGGGUUCGAAUCCCACCCUCAUCA